UACGAGGGGGGCGAGCGUUGUUCGGAAUUAUUGGGCGUAAAGGGUGCGUAGGCGGUUUGGUAAGUCUCGUGUGAAAUCUCCGGGCUCAACUCGGAGCCUGCACGAGAAACUGCCGGGCUUGAGUGUGGGAGAGGUGAGUGGAAUUCCUGGUGUAGCGGUGAAAUGCGUAGAGACCCGGAGGAACACCAGUGGCGAAGGCGAGUCCCUGGACAACUUCUGACGCUGAGGCACGAAAGCUAGGGGAGCAAACAGG
rnacentral:rRNA from 1 species